UUACUGAGUUUACGCUCUAUAACCCUUUGUGAACAUACCUAUAACUGUUGCUUCGGCGGGUAGGGUCUCCGCGACCCUCCCGGCCUCCCGCCUCCGGGCGGGUCGGCGCCCGCCGGAGGAUAACCAAACUCUGAUUUAACGACGUUUCUUCUGAGUGGUACAAGCAAAUAAUCAAAACUUUUAACAACGGAUCUCUUGGUUCUGGCAUCGAUGAAGAACGCAGCGAAAUGCGAUAAGUAAUGUGAAUUGCAGAAUUCAGUGAAUCAUCGAAUCUUUGAACGCACAUUGCGCCCGCCAGCAUUCUGGCGGGCAUGCCUGUUCGAGCGUCAUUUCAACCCUCAAGCUCUGCUUGGUGUUGGGGCCCUACAGCUGAUGUAGGCCCUCAAAGGUAGUGGCGGACCCUCCCGGAGCCUCCUUUGCGUAGUAACUUUACGUCUCGCACUGGGAUCCGGAGGGACUCUUGCCGUAAAACCCCCCAAUUUUCCAAAGGUUGACCU
rnacentral:rRNA from 1 species